UGUGCCUUCGUCUUACAAUAAACCUGGGACUUUACAUUGAAAAAAGAAUUUUUUAUCUUCGAAGACAUUUUAUGUCUUAUGAUUUUCACGUUUAGACACAUCCUGCUUGCCAGACACUUUAUGUUUGUUUAUUGUCUUUCAUACCUCAAGCUAAUUCACCUAAUCAUACAACUAACCAGAAAGAACUAACCAAGAUUCACAUAUUUUAAACUAUUUUUUCUUUGUCGGAAAGCACACGUUCUCUCUCCAUUCUAGAUUUUGAAGUGUCGCAGAUCCACUUUCCCUUUCCAACCCUAAUUUCACAUCUCUCUCCACUUCAUCCGUAAUCGAUCCUCAGAUUCUUGUUUUGUUUGUGUAAUUCUGUUUCCAGCAUUUUACCCAUCUUCCUCUGACGGUGGAUAAUCCUCAGAAAACUUUUUUAACAACCGUGAAAUCGAAGCAUAAUAAGAAAGUGAAAAAAUCUAAGACGACUCAGGAACCAGACCCAUCGUAAAACGCAGCAAAGCUUUGCUACUGGAUCUCUGUCUCCCGCCGACAUUAUUUGCCAUUGAUAGGUUCACCUUUGAUCCAAUCCAACACGACCUCCACCACAAUUUGCUUGAUCAAAGAUAGCUCAGCUGGUCGACCUAUCGAAGACGUUUCUUUCCGCUCAGCCUCUCGCCGCCGUGUUCCGGGGUUGUUCGGGAUAGCUCGAUCUGCUCCUAACCUAGUUUAUUUAAUUUUUUGUUUUGGUCCUUGUACUUUUGUUUAAUCUCAGAUCUGCCCCAGAACUUUCUAACUAUGCAUGUUUCUUUUUGAAUUAGCACCAAAAUCUACAAUUCUGCAUUUUAGCUA